UACGAAGGGGGCUAGCGUUGCUCGGAAUCACUGGGCGUAAAGGGUGCGUAGGCGGGUUUUUAAGUCAGGGGUGAAAUCCUGGAGCUCAACUCCAGAACUGCCUUUGAUACUGAAGAUCUUGAGUCCGGGAGAGGUGAGUGGAACUGCGAGUGUAGAGGUGAAAUUCGUAGAUAUUCGCAAGAACACCAGUGGCGAAGGCGGCUCACUGGCCCGGUACUGACGGCUGAGGCACGAAAGCGUGGGGAGCAAACAGGG
rnacentral:rRNA from 1 species